rnacentral:rRNA from 1 species
GAUGAACGCUGGCGGCGUGCCUAAUACAUGCAAGUCGAGCGAACGGACGAGAAUCUUGCGGCGCUGAUGUUAGCGGCGGACGGGUGAGUAACACGUGUAUAACCUACCUAUAAUACUGGUAUAACUUCGGGAAACCGGAGCUAAUACCGGAUAAUAUUUUGAAGCGCAUGGUUCAAAAGUGAGAUACGGUCUUGCGGGCACGUAUAGAGGGAUCCGCGCUGCAUGAGCUAGUUGUUAAGUUAACGGCUUACCAAGGCUACGAUGCAUAGCCGACCUGAGAGGGUGAUCGGCCACCCUGGAACUGAGACACGGACAUGACUCCUACGGGAGGGAGCAGUAGGCAACCUGCCGCAGUGGGCGAAAGUAUGGCGGAGCAACGCGGCGUGAGUUAUGACGGUCUUCGGAUCGUAAAAAUCUGUUACUAGGGAAGAACAUAUGUGUAAGGAACUGUGCACAUCUUGACGGUACCUAAUAAGAAAGCCACGGCUAACUACGUG